rnacentral:lncRNA from 1 species
AAUUCCUCAAAUUCGUCCAUCCCUUGUGCUUCAUGUGCAUGAACUCCAUUUUAGCCCAAUUUUGCUCCAAAUUGCAUCCUUUUGCUCACUUUGUCUCUAAAACCUGAAAACACAUGAAAAUAGCUUAAAAGACUAACUUAACUAAGAAAACACAACAUAAAUGCAUAAGAACUAACUAACUAAGGCGCAUAAAUAUGCUCCUAUCAAUGACAAUUGUAGUAUAUGAGCAAAUAGGGAUCGUUCUAACCGGGGAUUAACUAGGGCUGCUAAUCAAUGUAAAACUGACUCAAGAACAUAAAAAUAUAAUGUAGAACACUAAA